CGGAGGGUGCGAGCGUUGUUCGGAAUUAUUGGGCGUAAAGCGCGUGUAGGCGGCUCCUUAAGUCUGAUGUGAAAGCCCCGGGCUCAACCUGGGAAGUGCAUUGGAAACUGGGGAACUUGAAUACGGGAGAGGGUAGUGGAAUUCCUGGUGUAGGAGUGAAAUCCGUAGAUAUCAGGAGGAACACCGGUGGCGAAGGCGGCUACCUGGACCGAUAUUGACGCUGAGACGCGAAAGCGUGGGGAGCAAACAGGAUUAGAUACCCUGGUAGUCCACGCCGUAAACGAUGAGUACUAGGUGUUGCGGGUAUUGACCCCUGCAGUGCCGCAGCUAACGCAUUAAGUACUCCGCCUGGGAAGUACGGUCGCAAGGUUG
rnacentral:rRNA from 1 species